rnacentral:rRNA from 1 species
GUAGGUGGCAAGCGUUGUCCGGAAUUAUUGGGCGUAAAGCGCGCGCAGGUGGUUCUUUAAGUCUGAUGUGAAAGCCCCCGGGCUCAACCGGGGAGGGUCAUUGGAAACUGGGGAACUUGAGUGCAGGAGAGGAAAGUGGAAUUCCACGUGUAGCGGUGAAAUGCGUAGAUAUGUGGAGGAACACCAGUGGCGAAGGCGACUUUCUGGCCUGUAACUGACACUGAGGCGCGAAAGCGUGGGGAGCAAACAGGAUUAGAUACCCUUGUAGUCCACGCCGUAAACGAUGAGUGCUAAGUGUUGGGGGGUUUCCGCCCCUCAGUGCUGCAGCUAACGCAUUAAGCACUCCGCCUGGGGAGUACGGUCGCAAAGACUG